UCGCGAUCAGGCGGCGGAUUCCGCGCCAGCAUGGUUUCAUAGGCCAUGGCGGCCUGCGUUACGCUGCCGCCUUCAAACAGGCCGGUCGCGUG
rnacentral:tRNA from 1 species